UACGAAGGGGGCUAGCGUUGCUCGGAAUCACUGGGCGUAAAGCGCACGUAGGCGGACUCUUAAGUCGGUGGUGAAAUCCUGGAGCUCAACUCCAGAACUGCCUUCGAUACUGGGAGUCUUGAGUCCGGGGGAGGUGAGUGGAACUGCGAGUGUAGAGGUGAAAUUCGUAGAUAUUCGCAAGAACACCAGUGGCGAAGGCGGCUCACUGGCCCGGUACUGACGCUGAGGUGCGAAAGCGUGGGGAGCAAACAGG
rnacentral:rRNA from 1 species